CUAAGACGGACACAUUUUAUGAGUGAAUUUGACUUUGAGUGACAUACAGGUUUCUUUGAAAAAUACUUUCUUAUAUCCAGGUUCUUCCUUUUUGCUGCCGUCCUCCUCUCCUCCUUGCAGGUCCUCGCAGCGCAGGAUUGCCGCUGUUAAAACUAAACAGAGCUCCCUGAAAGGCUCAGUCAAUGACAUUGGACAUAUUUGUCACAUGACGUAGGAUUCCAGUAGCGAACGUAAUUUAACCCUUUCUGCACCGCUGGGUGACUGAGACGUUGACAGAUUGUUUUUUUCUUUCUAUCGGGUUUGUUUUUCUUUACUCGAAGAGAUCAAAUUACUGUUUUCUCUCUUGUCCUCCAGGACUGCUUUCGUCCUCCAGGUUGCUCCACCUUCCUGUCAAAAAUCAGCUGAUUGCUCCUCUGUCCUCAGUCAGUCAUCACCAGCUUGUCGUAUCAGCCAGUUAGACUACCUGGAGUACCUGGACCUCCUCUCCUGGAAUCAAUCACAUCAGUGUGACUGCUUCUUCACAGAAUCACACUGUGAAAAGAGCUGUUCUUAGUUCUACUUUCUGAUCCUUUAUACAUGACCAACACGGCGUGACCAGCUUAUCACACAUUUGAGUUCCAUGUGUGACAACUGCAAGUGUCCAGAGUGAGGACAGACUGAGGGACCCACUGCUGCACAUCAUCUGUGAGGCUUUGCACCCCUGAUGAUCCACCAGGACAAACUCAGCAGUGUGUGAGGAAGAGGAGGAGGAAGAGCCAGCAGCAGCUGACAGAUGGAGAGAAUAGACAGACUGUUCCCUGUUUGUGAAGGACUGCUAGAAAAGUUUAACAUCACUAAUUGUCUGUCCUGAAUCAGUCUUAUUAGGAAAUGUUCAAAUAAUUUUAUCAUUCCAGUGUUUUCAGUACUCAGGCCCUUCAAGUUACACACUAUGAAAGGCAGCAACAAGUUUAAUAUUCAGAAACCUAAAGUAUGUAUCAGCAGCAGAACGGAGCUAAAAAUAAAUGUUUGUUUCAGUUCUAUGAAGCUUUGAGUAUUUUGGAUUAGUAGCACUGCUGUGUUUGUUGUAUCGUAUUGCUGUAAUUGUUUAUAUGCUUUAUGUAUUUUGAGGUAAGUUGAUCUAUAGUGUUACAUCAUAUUCCAUAAGGAUGUUAUGUGUUUGUAUACUUUCUGCCCAGUUUGACCCAUUUAGCAGAAGUCAGCCUGUUUAAGGCUCUGAUAUCUAUUCUGUAUGACUUAAAUCGUUGAAAACGAUGUUCCGGGAGUCCGCUGUUCUCGCCGGCUCUAAUAAUCCUCGACCUCGCUGUCUGCUAUGGAGCUGGCAGGUCACAGACGUCUCCGAAAAUGUCGGAGCGCGUUUGGAAAUAUAUGAUAUCUUGAUAAAUUGAGCAGAUAUUUGAAGUUUACACAGCUACAUUCUAGCUUGAAAAUAACUUAAAAGUUUAUUUUGUGACCCAGAAAGAGUAAUAUUUAAAAGUUUUUAGCCCCGCUCGUCCGCCAUUGCCGCGUUUGAGUUUUGGACGAAAUGCAUUCUGGGAUAUUUAGCUGUAUCAAGUCCACACAAGUCACCACUGAUGCAUGCUCGAUAAAACGGGCGGAGCGAGAACACAUCCGGGACUUUUUCGCGUUCUCGGCUUGAUGCAUACUUCGAAUUGGAACAGUACUUGGUCUCCGACUGAUGACGUAUCACGAGUACAUGAGAACGCAAGUACGCAUAUUGAGAAAGGCCCUUCCCAUUUAACAAGCCUCUCACUUCCGCACUUCUUGUACUUCCUAAUACGCGCCGUACGUAGUACGCCAACUGCGCGUACUCCGAAGCGUGCGGUUGCUGGAUUGGGACACAGCCUCAUGUCGUGUCCAAAUUCAUGGGCUGCAUCCUCUUGAGGACCCGGCCUUCGCGGUCUACGUGGGCCUAUUCUGACAAACCAUCCUACUUUGGCAAAACGUCCUACCGUAUGUUUAUGCACAUUUCUGCUGUCACAGAGUAAUUCCAGCACCAAUUUAAGUAGGUAUGACGGUUUGCCACUUAACUUUGCCCAUCAGAGUAUACUUGUAGCUCGUAUGCAUACAGCCAGGAUGGUUUGGCACUUAAUUUUACCCGUCAGAGUAUGUGUGUAGCUGUUAUUAACAAAGGUAGGAUGAUUUGCCACUGAAUUUUAGCUGUUAAAGUAUGCUUCUAGCUCAGAUUAACAAAAGUAGGACGAUUUGCCACUAAAUUUUAGCAGUUUAAGUAUGCUUGUAGGUGACAUUCACAAAGGUAGGAUGGUUUGGCAGUUAAUUUUACCAGUCAGAGUAUUUUUCUAGCUAAUAUUCACAAAGGUAGGACGGUUUGCCACUGAAUUUCGUGUUGUGCGCAGAAACAACGGGUAGGAUGGUUUGCUGGGUAGGAUGAUUUGCCAGGUAGGAUGGAUUCCCAGAACACCCCGGGUCCUCAGAAGGUCGGGUAAGCUUGAAGUAAACAGCUGUGAUAUUGGACGGUCUAGCCUUGCGAUUUCGUCACUGCUGUCUUGGUGGAGUUUAAUAAACUCUGUCGUCUGCUCCUUGCUAUCUAAAUUAUAACAGGACACUGGUGUAAAUUCUUGACCAUCUCACACUUCUGUUUAAUCAGUUUUCUGUUUGAUGAUUAUUCAGCUGUGUGAAAACCAUCCAGGAGAUUAAUAAUGUUUUAUUUGAUCUAAUCUAAUAUCUUUAAUCUCAGCCAAACCAAUUUACUCACAAACCAAUAAAACACUGAAAAAGCCAAACAAUAACAUUUCUAGGUUGUCUAAGUGACUAAUAUAUUACGUUUAACCUGAGUAGCGAAAGUCCGUGGUGAUCUGAAAAUGAUGCGCCGGGAGUUGUGCUGUUCUCGGCGGCUUCAGUGACCCUUGAGCUCCCAGCUAGCUAUCGAGCUGGUGGAUAACAGACGUCGGAGCACUUUUGCAAAUAUGUGAUAUCUUGAUAAACCGAGCAGAUAUUUGAAGUUAACACACCCACAUUCUCGCCUGAAAAUACGUUAAAAGUUUAUUUUGUGACCCAGAAAGAUUAAUAAGAGUAAUAUUAAAAACUUAGUAGCGGCUGCCAUUGUUGAAAACUGGAAUUGGCUGGGCCGCGCUUUGAAUUCUGGGAUAUGGUGGGCCACGAAGGACACACUCGACCCAUCCUUCAAAUUUGGGGAAAAGGAGGACGCAUUUGUCGGCUGCAUUUGGAGGAGUCUACGAAUUUGGACAGCCUUCGUUGCGUCGCUGUGACGUAAUCGGCCUACAAAUGCGGCCUCAGGAGGAUGCAGCCCAUGAAUUUGGACACGACCUCAUACUUC
ensembl:lncRNA